rnacentral:lncRNA from 15 species
AAUGAGCUGUUUUUAGCUACUGAGGGAGCAGGUCGUCUUCCCCAAAGGCCGCCAUGUUGAACCGCCAUGUUUCCACAGUAGCCCAGAAUGGACAAACCAAACACUGGCGGUAGAUAGGGUCCUUCCCUUUGUGCCCCCAUCGUAGUCUCUCCGAUACACUGAGCUGUGUUCAGUUGGUUGCAGUCUGCAACUUUACUGCUAGGUGCCACUGAACCCCUCACACUGGUCCUUCAGUCUGCUCAGGGAAAUACACAGCAUGGAACUCUUUGAAAGUCUGGAAAUCUACAUCCCAGUGGAGGCUGAAGUGAAAAGCAUUUGUCUGUGGAGUUUACCAAACUCAGUGCUCAGACGAAUGGGCCUCCCCCUGUCUGACGCAGAGGGCUGCAGGACGCUCACAGAGUCUCCAGAGGGCAUAUGGAUUUGUCCAGCGGUCCUACGGAAGAAAGGCCAGAAACCUUCCCACGCAAGAAACAGUGUGAUAGAAAAUGUGUCCUCGCUGAUGGCAAAAGAGUUUCGAGCUGCACCAGGUCCCUUCCGGAUGUCUUUUGUCGCCUCCAACCAUGCAGCUUACAAGGUGUUGAAGGACACCAUGCCUGGGAAAAAGGUCUCUGCAAACACAUCUCCCCUCUCCCACCCGUCUCCGGGCUCAGUUCCCCUGACCUACCAAAAUGCUGCUGUUGUCAUCUACCACGGACGCAUUUACCUGUCCAUCAGGAAGCCCAAUCACAGCCGGAGUCGACGAGAGACACGUGAACCACAGCCAGCUUCAAAGUCCUCCUUUCCCUCAACAUCAGACAUGUCAGCUAAAAGCCAGACGAAGCACCAGUCCCCCCAGGCUUCUCUUCAACCCGCAAACAAACAGUUACAAAGGAAGAGACUGCGUAUCCCUUUGCCCCAAACCUCCCCAAAACAGCCAAAGGUGGUUCUUACAAAAACAGACUCCACCACAGAUCAGGAGCUGCUAAAUCCCAAGAAGAAACACACCACCCCUAAAGUAACACAGAGUGAAAACAGAAAGCAUGUUACGCACAAGGGAAGGGACGUACCCUCAUCCAAGACUGCAGCGGAAGCCACAGCCCCGGAGCCAGCUUGGUUUCAGCCCCAGGCGGAGCAGGGGAAGGUGGCCGACGACGGCGGUGAGAUACAGGACCUGGGCGAUGAAGAGAGCGCCAAUCAAAAUGUAGACGGCAAUCUAAAAGCUGACUGUGGGGAACCUGACAGCAUUGUAGAGCAAAGUAGUGGCCAGAGCUGGACCAGGAGGGAGUCCCAGGGGGCAGCUUCCACUUCACUGCAGCACGACUUUGAGGAGCUGGCGCAGGAGGAGAUGAUCGCUCGAAUGAAGGCCAAACUCAGACAGAGUGAAGCAGCUCUCAGCAACCUGCACUCGUCAUAGUUACGGCUCAGUCACAGUGGACGGCAGUGACGAGGCUUCCGUUCCCCAUGAAAUAAACUCCCUUUUAAAAUUAGGGUCACAUCCUCAAACUGCUGAGGGAACUCAGUGCAGUCAGUGCAGAAAUGACAGACUGAGACUAAUGGAGACUAAGACGCUAGGGCCACCAACAGCACACUUUACACAAGGCCUCGCGGCUGUUGAGGCUCUAAGAAUAGCAAAAUAGAAAAAUAGUUGCACCCUGACUGCUGCAGAACAAAGGAUAUCGUCAUCUGGCUUUAUUCCACACACGUCACACUUGACAGAACCUGGCGUCGGAGACUCGGCUGCAUUAGUAGCGUGCUAUUAGCAGCUAAUGUAACCUGCAGCAGGCCAGAGGUCUCAUCAGAUUGUUUUUAUUUUCAAAUGCCGGCUCAAAUUUAUCAAACUUCACACAGCUCCCUCGUGAGUCACUAAAGGCUUUGACUGUGUGUGAUCUUUUCCUUUAUAAGCUGGGCACAUCAAAUGAUUAUUUUCGGGGCUUUACUAUUAUCUGACUAUGUUGAGAAAUUGUCGACCUAUUGGGAACGUUUUAGUUUUAGAAGGAUUAGUGUAACAUUACUCUGCUUUGUUGUGGGACGCCAUUGACUUUUACAAAUGAUAUUUCAUAGGCUAUAUUUCUGUUACUGCAGAUAUCUCUGUCAGCAAUAAAGAAAAGAGUGAGUGGACAGCGUUGUGAGUUUGUUCUCAUUUAAAAGAGCAGUUCACAUUAUGUCACUGAUCAUCUGCAUCCACCUGCUGCUCACAUGUAGGCCUGCAACUAACAUUUAUUUUAAUUAUUGAUUUAUCUGUCAUCAAUUAAUAAAUAAUUUGUUUGGUCCAGAAAAUGUCUUGUUUUCUCCACAACCCAUUUCUUAAAAAAUGACUCAAUUAAUUCAAUAGUUGACAGCAUUGAUGAUUGAUGACAACACACAUCAACCAAGUAAUUGUUGCAGCUCUACACACACAUUGUGUGAAAAUGUGUUAUUGUGUCCUUUCUACCCUAAAUUCAGACUUAAAACGAUUAAAAUCCAGUUUUGUUUGUUAAAAUCAAAGUAAUGGAAUAUUUCCAGCUGCUGAAUGUUUCCAUCUUCCAAGUUAGUUUCCUCCACAGUUACAAAAAUGAAUCCAAGGAUGUGAUUGGAUUGUUGGAUUUCAAAUCAGUAGGUGAUAACAAAAGUAAUGUUGUUACUCAUUUUUUUGGUUGGGGGGGGGGGGGGGUAACUGUAAUCAUACUGAAAUGUAUUAGCCAUUACUUACACUACUAGUUACUGGGGAAAGUAAUGUUAUUACUGUUGUAUUAUUACUAACAAUGAGUUACUGCCCAACACUGCAAACACUGCAUUUGGUAGCUGAUCUGGAGCAUGCAACAGCAUCACACUUCUUCUGCAGGAUCUAUUUCAAUGAGCCUGAAUGAGGGAAGGAAAACUGAUUACAAAGUAAAUACACUGUUGCUCCACAAAUUUAUCCAGAGGCCUGAAACCAAGUUUGUAAUUUUCACCAAUGAGUUAGCACAAUUCUAGAAGCAUUUUUGCUUUGACUUCAUAUACAAUCACAUGACCACUAAAACUCAAUAUUUUCCAAAUCAACACCAGUGUGCUACUUGCUCAUUAGCAAACAAAUAAGCAUAAUAAACAUUCUACAAUAUGUGACUUUGUUCCAAGUCCCUCCACUCUUUUUAGUUUGUAUCUGUAACCUUGGAACAAGAAUCACAGAGGCACAAUAAUGACCUCCUCACACAUUCACCCACAGCUGAUAGAUAUUUAACUUCCUGAUGCACCACAUUAUCUUUGAUAGUUUUAGUCACUACAGAGAUUACAGGCAUUUUUUUGAAGAACUGAAGAUUUAAAUGAAGAAAACACAACUAAAUACAGAAAGCACACAACAGCAAUGAAUUUAAAAAAUGGUGUAGAGGGGGAACU